rnacentral:rRNA from 1 species
AUACGGAAGGUCCGGGCGUUAUCCGGAUUUAUUGGGUUUAAAGGGAGCGCAGGCUGAUGAUUAAGCGUGACGUGAAAUGUAGCCGCUCAACGGCUGAACUGCGUCGCGAACUGGUUAUCUUGAGUGAGUUCGAUGUUGGCGGAAUUCGUGGUGUAGCGGUGAAAUGCUUAGAUAUCACGAAGAACUCCGAUUGCGAAGGCAGCCAACAAGGCCUUUGCUGACGCUAAAGCUCGAAGGUGCGGGUAUCGAACAGGAUUAGAUACCCUGGUAGGCCGCACGGUAAACGAUGGAUGCCAGCUGUUUGCGAUAUCCUGUGAGCGGCCAAGAGAAAUCGUUAAGCAUCCCACCUGGGGAGUACGGCGGCAACGGUGAAACUCAAAUGAAUUGUCGGGG